CAUGCAAGUCGAACGAGACCUUCGGGUCUAGUGGCGCACGGGUGCGUAACGCGUGGGAAUCUGCCCUUAGGUUCGGAAUAACUCAGGGAAACUUGAGCUAAUACCGGAUGAUGACUUCGGUCCAAAGAUUUAUCGCCUAAGGAUGAGCCCGCGUAGGAUUAGCUAGUUGGUGAGGUAAAAGCUCACCAAGGCGACGAUCCUUAGCUGGUCUGAGAGGAUGAUCAGCCACACUGGGACUGAGACACGGCCCAGACUCCUACGGGAGGCAGCAGUGGGGAAUAUUGGACAAUGGGCGAAAGCCUGAUCCAGCAAUGCCGCGUGAGUGAUGAAGGCCUUAGGGUUGUAAAGCUCUUUUACCCGGGAUGAUAAUGACAGUACCGGGAGAAUAAGCCCCGGCUAACUCCGUGCCAGCAGCCGCGGUAAUACGGAGGGGGCUAGCGUUGUUCGGAAUUACUGGGCGUAAAGCGUGCGCAGGCGGUAAUGUAAGACAGUUGUGAAAUCCCCGGGCUCAACCUGGGAACUGCAUCUGUGACUGCAUUGCUGGAGUACGGUAGAGGGGGAUGGAAUUCCGCGUGUAGCAGUGAAAUGCGUAGAUAUGCGGAGGAACACCGAUGGCGAAGGCAAUCCCCUGGACCUGUACUGACGCUCA
rnacentral:rRNA from 1 species